rnacentral:rRNA from 1 species
UACAGAGGUCUCAAGCGUUGUUCGGAUUCAUUGGGCGUAAAGGGUGCGUAGGCGGCGCGGUAAGUCGGGUGUGAAAUCUCGGGGCUUAACUCCGAAACUGCAUUCGAUACUGCCGUGCUUGAGGACUGGAGAGGAGACUGGAAUUUACGGUGUAGCGGUGAAAUUCGUAGAUAUCAAGCGGAACACCGGUGGCGAAGGCGGCCUUCUGGACAGUGACUGACGCUGAGACGCGAAAGCGUGGGGAGCAAACAGG